CCCAUCUGCAAAAAUACACCUGCGUCGCCUCCUUCCUGCUCGAGUCCGACGGACCGAGCGCCUGCAGGAGCCGCAUGCGUAAACCGCCGGGGAACAGUGAAGCACGUCCGCAGAACCUGUAAUGAGGUCGACGGCGUGGAUCGGGAGGGGGCUCUCCUGCGUCUGCGCGUGGAGGAGGGACAGGCGAUGGAUGCCUCUCCUUCGAUUGGAUACCUGUGCUGCUGUGCAGGUGGGAUUCGCUUAUUUCUUUACGAUUUGAUUCUCAAUAUACUCUUGCGGUUCCGAAGCUGCGGUGUCAGAUUCUCGACCCUGUCAAUGAAAUUGGAAGUAAUUUGUUUAUUAAUUUGAUGGAUUAUCUGCCUUCGUAUGCAAAG
rnacentral:lncRNA from 7 species